UACAGAGGGGGCAAGCGUUGUUCGGAAUUACUGGGCGUAAAGGGCGCGUAGGCGGCCGCCUAAGUCAAACGUGAAAUCCCCGGGCUCAACCCGGGAACUGCGUCCGAUACUGAGUGGCUUGAAUUCGGGAGAGGGAUGCGGAAUUCCAGGUGUAGCGGUGAAAUGCGUAGAUAUCUGGAGGAAUACCGGUGGCGAAGGCGGCAUCCUGGACCGGCAUUGACGCUGAGGAGCGAAAGCUAGGGGAGCAAACGGG
rnacentral:rRNA from 1 species